rnacentral:rRNA from 1 species
UACGUAGGGCGCAAGCGUUGUCCGGAAUUAUUGGGCGUAAAGAGCUCGUAGGCGGUUUGUCGCGUCUGCCGUGAAAGCCCGGGGCUUAACUCCGGGUCUGCGGUGGAUACGGGCAGACUAGAGGCAGGUAGGGGAGAACGGAAUUCCCGGUGUAGCGGUGAAAUGCGUAGAUAUCAGGAGGAACACCAGUGGCGAAGGCGGGUCUCUGGGCCGAAAUUGACGCUGAGGGGCGAAAGCGUGGGGAGCGAACGAGG